ensembl:lncRNA
CAGGCAAUAGGCAUAGAAACUGUCCGCUGCAGGUAAACAAGAGAACCGCAGACAAUGGACACACUUCUGGUUAUAAUACAGCGCGACUUUAUAUGUUUUCAUGUUGCCUUUACAUUAUGUCAAUUCAUCAGUUGGUUACAGUAACAGUUUAUGUUAUUCAGUCCAGGUAUGUUACUAUGUUAUGCUCAGCUGCUGUUAUAGUACAUGCUGUAUAUUGUAACUUUGAAUCUCCCACUCCCCACAGGAUAUAAUAUUCUCUGUUACCAUUUGUAUAGCAAGGCAGAGAGCAUUUACAGGUAUAUUGAUCCUUUAUCAACAAACGACAUUAUAUUAGUCUCAGACGUAUUGCUGAACUGGCUGUAAUACCUUAUCUGUUGAUCAUGUUGCUGAUGUCACUAUUAGAAGGAUAACAUGGUGACUAUUGAGUGUGAGGAACUGUUUUCAGGAAGUGUUUUCAGGAAGUGGGUUGGUACAUUAUCUUCAUGUCGUGAACAUCGUGUUCUUAAUGCAGAUAAACUAAUUAGUUGGUUUUGUGUUUGGAGGAUGCAGGGACACGUUUAGCAUUGUUCUGUGGUUUAAAAAUAAUUAUUUUCACAUACACCGGAUUAGGUGCAGUGAAAUGUGUUGUUUUACAGGGUCAGUCAUAGUAGUAUGAUAGGUGUUGUUUUACAGGGUCAGUCAUAGUAGUAUGAUAGCAGUGUUGUUUUACAGGGUCAGUCAUAGUAGUAUGAUAG